UGACGGUACCUGACUAAGAAGCCCCGGCUAACUACGUGCCAGCAGCCGCGGUAAUACGUAGGGGGCAAGCGUUAUCCGGAUUUACUGGGUGUAAAGGGAGCGUAGACGGUCUUGCAAGUCUGAUGUGAAAGGCAGGGGCUCAACUCCUGGACUGCAUUGGAAACUGUAAGUCUUGAGUGCCGGAGAGGUAAGCGGAAUUCCUAGUGUAGCGGUGAAAUGCGUAGAUAUUAGGAGGAACACCAGUGGCGAAGGCGGCUUACUGGACGGUAACUGACGUUGAGGCUCGAAAGCGUGGGGAGCAAACAGGAUUAGAUACCCUG
rnacentral:rRNA from 1 species